GUAGGGAAUAUUGGUCAAUGGGCGCAAGCCUGAACCAGCCAUGCCGCGUGCAGGAAGACGGUCCUAUGGAUUGUAAACUGCUUUUAUUUGGGAAUAAACUCCGGUACGUGUACCGGCCUGAAGGUACCAAAUGAAUAAGCACCGGCUAACUCCGUGCCAGCAGCCGCGGUAAUACGGAGGGUGCAAGCGUUAUCCGGAAUCAUUGGGUUUAAAGGGUCCGCAGGCGGUCUUAUAAGUCAGUGGUGAAAGCCUACAGCUCAACUGUAGAACUGCCAUUGAUACUGUAGGACUUGAAUUCGAUCGAAGUGGGCGGAAUGUGACAUGUAGCGGUGAAAUGCUUAGAUAUGUCACAGAACACCGAUAGCGAAGGCAGCUCACUAGGUCUGGAUUGACGCUCAGGGACGAAAGCGUGGGGAGCAAACAGGAUUAGAAACCCGAGUAGUCC
rnacentral:rRNA from 1 species